AAUAACUGCUUUAGGAAAAACAUUCUGUCACAUAUGUGGUUCUCAUUUAGGCUUCAGACACAUCCAAGGAAGCAGAGAGGAAAGGAUGGUGCUUUUCUUCAGCACAUAAUCAACAAAUGAUGUUUACAGUCCAAGAAGCACAACUGUGGAAGGUCGCUAGAGCCCUGAGUGUGAUCUCCACUUCCUCCUGAGUCUCAGAGAAGCAGGCACAGAGUUGCUUAGCAGGAUUCCCCAGUGGGCAUUGCUGGAAUGAGAUGAGAACCAGAAGACGCUGCAAGUCCUUGGACCCCCACCCAAGCUCAUCCAGAGUGACAAGGAUGGAUGCUCUAGUGGGGACCUGGGACAGUGGAAUCGGGCCACUUCUGGUCUAUCUUGUGGGAGCCUGGGCUACACUACAAGAAGCUCCCUGCUGACUUCUGGGUCCUGGCCAUCACAUGGCUAGAGAAAUUGGUAUAGCAAUAAUUACGGCAGCUGAUGUAAGCUCAUGGAUUAACAUCUAUCCCUGUGAUAAAUAUAUGGUGAGCCCAUAAGAUAAAUCCUAAAAAGCCAACAGACAUGAUUCAUAACCCUUUCCAUGUAUCUGAAAGGUUCUUUUUGUCCUAAAUAGUGUGUCAUGAUAUGUGAGACUAUUCCAAACCCUGGGAGGCUAUGAAUACAGACUUCAGGGUGACAAAGAAUCAAUAUAGGUGUUGGUAUAGGAUUGGGUCUCCUCCUGUGGGGUCAAAGAAAGUAGUUUAGAUUUUGAUCUGUUAACACGAAGGUAAUUCCAGUUGCUAGGACUGAGAGGGAUAAUUAUAAUAGUACAGCUAUAAUUGGGGCAGAUCAAACAAUGGUGUUUGAUAUUGGAAUAAUGGCUGGUGGUUUUACAUUAAAGAUUGUAGUCAUAAAAUUAAUAGCACCAAGGUUUGAGGAAACAUUUGCUAAAAGGAAGGAGAAAAUGGUUAGGUUGACAGAGGCUUCUGCAUGUACCCAAUUGCCAGCUAGAGGUGGAUGUGUGUGUCGACCAGUACCAGAACCAGCUUUGCUAGUGAUGAUACAAGUUGGAAUAUGAAUGAGGGGGAUGUAGUCAAAAGUUUAGAUUAUUUAGUGAAAUGCUACAUCAGGUGCCCCAGUUAUUAGUGGGACAAGACAGUUUCCAAACCCUCCAAUGAUAAAUGGGCACAACUAUAAAGAAAAAUAUUAGAAAUGCAGGGUCUGUCAUGACUAUGUUACAGAUUUGGUCAUCUCCAAGUAGGCUGCAGGUUAGCAUAGCUGAGCACAGAUGAAUAGACUUAAGGUGUUGCCUACUCUUCCCAGCUCAAGCACCAAAUAGUAAAGUGACAAUACAUUUGUGAUUUGUUGGAAGGAAUAAACAAUUUAUGAACACAGGUAAAGUGGCUAAGCAAGCAUUAGAAUCUAAAUCAAAAGAA